rnacentral:rRNA from 1 species
UGAUUCAUGGCUCAGGACGAACGCUGGCGGCGUGCUUAACACAUGCAAGUCGAACGCUGAAGCACCAGCUUGCUGGUGUGGAUGAGUGGCGAACGGGUGAGUAAUACGUGAGUAACCUGCCCUUGACUCUGGGAUAAGCCCGGGAAACUGGGUCUAAUACUGGAUGCUACAUGUCACCGCAUGGUGGUGUGUGGAAAGGGUUUACUGGUCUUGGAUGGGCUCACGGCCUAUCAGCUUGUUGGUGAGGUAAUGGCUCACCAAGGCGACGACGGGUAGCCGGCCUGAGAGGGUGACCGGCCACACUGGGACUGAGACACGGCCCAGACUCCUACGGGAGGCAGCAGUGGGGAAUAUUGCACAAUGGGCGAAAGCCUGAUGCAGCGACGCCGCGUGAGGGAUGACGGCCUUCGGGUUGUAAACCUCUUUCAGCAGGGAAGAAGCCACAAGUGACGGUACCUGCAGAAGAAGCGCCGGCUAACUACGUGCCAGCAGCCGCGGUAAUACGUAGGGCGCAAGCGUUGUCCGGAAUUAUUGGGCGUAAAGAGCUCGUAGGCGGUUUGUCGCGUCUGCUGUGAAAGCCCGGGGCUUAACCCCGGGUGUGCAGUGGGUACGGGCAGACUAGAGUGCAGUAGGGGAGACUGGAAUUCCUGGUGUAGCGGUGGAAUGCGCAGAUAUCAGGAGGAACACCGAUGGCGAAGGCAGGUCUCUGGGCUGUUACUGACGCUGAGGAGCGAAAGCAUGGGGAGCGAACAGGAUUAGAUACCCUGGUAGUCCAUGCCGUAAACGUUGGGCACUAGGUGUGGGGGACAUUCCACGUUUUCCGCGCCGUAGCUAACGCAUUAAGUGCCC